rnacentral:rRNA from 1 species
UACGUAGGGUGCGAGCGUUGUCCGGAAUUAUUGGGCGUAAAGAGCUCGUAGGCGGCUUGUCGCGUCGGAUGUGAAAGCCCGGGGCUUAACUCCGGGUCUGCAUUCGAUACGGGCAGGCUAGAGUUCGGUAGGGGAGAUCGGAAUUCCUGGUGUAGCGGUGAAAUGCGCAGAUAUCAGGAGGAACACCGGUGGCGAAGGCGGUUCUCUGGGCCUUACCUGACGCUGAGGAGCGAAAGCGUGGGGAGCAAACAGG